rnacentral:rRNA from 1 species
CUUUUUGGUUUGAUGAAAAGUCGUACCUGCCCACUGAUAUUAAUUGAAGGGCCGCGGUAUUUUGACCGUGCAAAGGUAGCAUAAUCAUUAGUCUUUUAAUUGGGGACUGGGAUGAAUGGUUUGACGAAACAUUAACUGUCUUAAGAAUAUAAUUUUGAAUUUAACUUUUAAGUUAAAAGGCUUAAAUAUUGAACAGGGACGAGAAGACCCUAUAGAUCUUUAUUUUUGGUUGUGGGAUAUAAAUUUUGGUUGUUGUAUUUGAUUUUAUAAUUAAGUAUUUUGUUGGGGUGACAGAAGAAGAGAAAAACUUCUUUUUUAUUAGACUUGAAUUUAAGGGUGUUGGAUCCUUUUUUAUGGAUUGAAGAUUAAGGUACCUUAGGGAUAACAGCGUAAUUUUGUUUGAGAGUUCUUAUCGACAAUGAAGAUUGCGACCUCGAUGUUGGAUUAAGAUUAUAUAUUGGUGAAGAAGUUAGUAUUGUUAGUCUGUUC